rnacentral:rRNA from 1 species
UACGUAGGGUGCAAGCGUUAAUCGGAAUUACUGGGCGUAAAGCGUGCGCAGGCGGUUAUGUAAGACAGGUGUGAAAUCCCCGGGCUUAACCUGGGAACUGCAUUUUGUGACUGCAUAGCUAGAGUACGGUAGAGGGGGAUGGAAUUCCGCGUGUAGCAGUGAAAUGCGUAGAUAUGCGGAGGAACACCGAUGGCGAAGGCAAUCCCCUGGACCUGUACUGACGCUCAUGCACGAAAAGCGUGGGGAGCAAACAGG